rnacentral:rRNA from 1 species
UGCAAGUCGAGCGAGAUCCUGUGUCCGAUUCCUUCGGGGAGAAGACAUAGACAUCUUAGCGGCGGACGGGUGAGUAACACGUGGGUAACCUGCCUCCUAGACUGGGAUAACUCCGGGAAACCGGUGCUAAUACCAGAUAAAAGCCAUCAUCGCAUGAUGAAAGCUUAAAAGAUGCUCCAAAGCAUCACUAAGAGAUGGACCCGCGUUGCAUUAGCUAGUUGGUGGGGUAGAGGCCUACCAAGGCGACGAUGCAUAGCCGGCCUGAGAGGGUGACCGGCCACACUGGGACUGAGACACGGCCCAGACUCCUACGGGAGGCAGCAGUAGGGAAUUUUCCGCAAUGGGCGAAAGCCUGACGGAGCGACGCCGCGUGAGUGAAGAAAGCCUUCGGGUUGUAAAGCUCUGUCUUUGGUGAAGAAGAACCUAAGGAAGAAAUGCCUUAGGAGUGACGGUAGCCGAGGAGGAAGCCCCGGCUAACUACGUGCCAGCAGCCGCGGUAAUACGUAGGGGGCGAGCGUUGUCCGGAAUUAUUGGGCGUAAAGGGCGCGCAGGCGGUCUAUAAAGUCUUGUGUGAAAACCUAGGGCUCAACCCUGGGACUGCACAAGAAACUGUUAGACUUGAGGACAGAAGAGGAGAGUGGAAUUCCUAGUGUAGCGGUGAAAUGCGUAGAUAUUAGGAGGAACACCAGUGGCGAAGGCGACUCUCUGGUCUGUAACUGACGCUGAGGCGCGAAAGCGUGGGUAGCAAACAGGAUUAGAUACCCUGGUAGUCCACGCCGUAAACGAUGAGUGCUAUGUGUUGGAGGGUACCACCUUCAGUGCAGCAGUUAACGCAUUAAGCACU